rnacentral:rRNA from 1 species
UACGUAGGUGGCAAGCGUUGUCCGGAAUUAUUGGGCGUAAAGCGCGCGCAGGCGGUCCUUUAAGUCUGAUGUGAAAGCCCACGGCUCAACCGUGGAGGGUCAUUGGAAACUGGAGGACUUGAGUACAGAAGAGGAAAGCGGAAUUCCACGUGUAGCGGUGAAAUGCGUAGAGAUGUGGAGGAACACCAGUGGCGAAAGCGGCGCGCUGGACCCCUUCUGACGCUGAGGCGCGAAAGCCAGGGGAGCAAACGGG